rnacentral:lncRNA from 9 species
AUGAUUGUGUGUUUUCUCUCAGCUAGGAUGAUGGCUCUGUUCAAGGAUGAUUGGAGGAGAGAACAGUUCCAGAAUGAAGGACUUCAGGAAAAAUAUGGUAAAGCCUCUUUAUAUCCCCUCACCACCCAAACAUUGUUAGAACACCUGGUUCGUGGUGUUGUAAAGAUAUCCAGCUUUUACCAACGUGUCACACUGGCUUGCCUCUCCAGAUCUCUGCUAUUCUGCA